GACGAACGCUGGCGGCGUGCUUAACACAUGCAAGUCGAACGAAGUGGCGAACGGGUGAGUAACACGUGGGUGACCUGCCCUGCACUUCGGGAUAAGCCUGGGAAACUGGGUCUAAUACCGGAUAGUGUGGGAUGGGCCCGCGGCCUAUCAGCUUGUUGGUGGGGUAAUGGCCUACCAAGGAGGCGACUGGUAGCCGGCCUGAGAGGGGGGACGGCCACAUUGGGACUGAGACACGGGCCAGACUCCUACGUGGGGCAGCAGUGGGGAAGAUUGAACAAGGGGCGGAUGCCUGAUGCAGCGACGCCGCGUGGGGGAUGACGGCCUUCGGGUUGUAAACUCCUUUCACCAUCGACGCGGUAGAUGGAGAAGAAGCACAGGCUAACUACGUGCCAGCAGCCGCGGUAAUUC
rnacentral:rRNA from 1 species